ensembl:lncRNA
GUCUCCCAGUGACGACCCUGUGGCUCUCUGUUACCAGCAGCAACAUUCACAGGCGGAGCUUUGGAUCCGGAGAAUCCUGGCUAUCCACAGCUGGUGCAGGUGUCCUCAGAUGUGUCCUCAGGCGUGGUGUUACGGUGUCUAGCCCCCCAGGGUCACAGUGGCCGAGUGUUUGAGCUCUACCACGUGCGCACACUCAAACUCUUGGUACAGUUUGACACAGGGCGCUCGUACGCCGACUUUCAGCUCAACACCAGCACUUCAGAUUCCGAGGAUAUCUACUGCUGCCGCUACGACCACAGCGGGUUCAGCAAGUACACCAGGCCCACUCCUCCACCAAGCCCGAACACACCCCCAGCUCCUCCUCAACUCUCGGUCAUACCUCCAGAUGGGUAUGUCCGGCCUGGUCAGGUGGUGGAGUUCCGUUGUCAGGCCCCGCCCACCCUUGCUCCUGUAUCAUUUGUCCUCCAGAAACAACAAAACAUGAUCCACUCCCAGAAUCCUCAGUUCAAGGUGGGGCCAGUGGGCGUGGCUGAUGGGGGCAUGUACAGCUGCUUCUACAUAUUUAACCUAUCAGAGGGAGUUCAAAAGUCUGUCCCCAGCGCACCUGUCUAUGUUAAUGUAGGAGUUAAGCUCCCAGCUCCGCAGUUAUCUCAGCGGGCAGAGGGGGCGCUAGUGUGCAUCGGGUCACCCUCCUACCCUGGUGCUUAUUUCUCCCUGUUCCAACAGGGUUCCUCAUCACCGAUAGCAACACAACACGCCCCCAAGAUUGAACACACCGUGCAAUUCACUGCAUCAGGGCAGCACUCGGAAGGAAGCAUGUACCAAUGUCAGUACAGUGUGCUGCUGGGUAAAAACUGGAUACAUUCUGAACUCAGCUCCCCCAUCGUACUGCAAUGUGUUACAGGAUCUCCUUCCUGCAGCUCAUCUUCUACAGAUAACCAUCCUCCACAUACAGGUUCAAUGGACCUGCCGUUGGUGUGUGGGUCCGUCUCAGCUGCACUGCUCUUCCUGAUGGUGCUCAUAAUCCUGGCCUUUGGGAUUCGCAAAUAUGCUAAAACAGCAGCCAAUAAAAGGAGACAAAGGGAACAGGAGCAGUUCUGGCAGCAGGUCCACUUCAGAGACCACAUCGUCGAUCUCACACUACAGAGAGUCAGCACUGGCUCCAAGGAGGAGGGAUUAACUUCAGUGUUGGAGCCCAUCUACGAAUCUCCAGUCAGCACAUUCACCCGCCCACCUGGCUACUGACACACUCGUGCGCUCUCUCUCUCUCUCUCUCUCUCUCUCUCUCUCUCUCGGCGACAGUGCAUAGUGAGAGCGCUACACACACAGACAGGUACAGCACACCUAAAUGGGCGGAGCAUGCCGAUGACAUGGCUGGGUUUUGGUUUGCAUGUAGUUACUUCAGUUUCUUUCUGACACAAAGGCAAACCGGGUCACACACACAAACGCUGAUCUCUCAGCAGUUUCUCUUCCUUUUUCUUUUUUAUUCGUCAUCAUCCUUUCAUUUAAUUACAUUCUUCACUCUUGUCCUUCUACUUUAUCUCAUUUACUCAUGGUUCUCUCUUUCUCCUCCUUCAUCUCAUUAUUUUUAUUUUAUUCCAUUUCUGUAUUCUCUCUCUCUCUCUCAGUAGCAUUUGCACGAUUUGGAUUUUGCAUUAAAGGCUCUUAUGUUUAUAAAAUGUCCUUUGAAAAUAAAUUAAUGCUUUAUUAAUGAUAUUUUAUGUAUGAAUACACAGAGAGAGAGAGAUUGCAGAAGGAAGUACAGACAUACUGUUGCUGGAGAGUUGAGCAAUAAAAGCACAUUAUAUCCUGUUAACUACAUCAUUAUCAUCAGUGGAUCAGUGCAAGCAAUGCUGCUUGUGUAACUAUGUACACUUUUAUUGAUCGCUAAAUGUUUGAGGUGUUAUGAACAUUUAUAACUCUGUAGAUGUUCAGUACAGACUGUACUCCAACAGGC